rnacentral:rRNA from 1 species
AGAGUUUGAUCCUGGCUCAGAACGAACGCUGGCGGCGUGGAUAAGACAUGCAAGUCGAGCGGGAUUUCUUUCUGUAGCAAUACAGAGAGAAGUCCAGCGGCGAACGGGUGCGUAACACGUGGGCAAUCUGUCUUAAAGUGGGGGAUAGCUCGGCGAAAGCCGAAUUAAUACCGCAUGUGAUCAGGGGCGACAUCGCUCCGAAAUCAAAGGUGGCGCAAGCUACCGCUUUUUGAGGGGCCCGCGGCCUAUCAGCUUGUUGGUGAGGUAACGGCUCACCAAGGCUAUGACGGGUAGCUGGUCUGAGAGGACGACCAGUCACACUGGGACUGAGACACGGCCCAGACACCUACGGGUGGCAGCAGUCGAGAAUUUUUGACAAUGGGGGAAACCCUGAUCGAGCGACGCCGCGUGGAGGAUGAAGGUCUUCGGGUUGUAAACUCCUGUCAUUUGGGAACAAGGCGCACGUAUUAACUGUGCGUGCGUUGAUAGUACCAGAAGAGGAAGAGACGGCUAACUCUGUGCCAGCAGCCGCGGUAAUACAGAGGUCUCAAGCGUUGUUCGGAUUCAUUGGGCGUAAAGGGUGUGUAGGUGGCGCGCUAAGUCGGGUGUGAAAUUUCGGAGCUUAACUCCGAAACUGCAUUCGAUACUGGCGUGCUUGAGGACUGGAGAGGAGACUGGAAUUUACGGUGUAGCAGUGAAAUGCGUAGAUAUCGUAAGGAAGACCAGUGGCGAAGGCGGGUCUCUGGACGUUCCUGACACUGAGACACGAAGGCCAGGGGAGCAAACGGGAUUAGAUACCCNNGUAGUCC